UUACGCUCAUAUCACGCUGAAACACCGUUUCUCGUACGUUCACCGAAGUUAAGCAACGUCGAUCCUGGUCAAUAACUAGAUGGGUGACUGCUUGGGAAUACCAGUGCUGUAA
rnacentral:rRNA from 1 species